CUCUCCCAGAAUCAACCCCGGCGUCCAUUCCUGGCAGGGGCAGGGUUGUGCAGCAGGCUCGCCCAGGGGUAAACGCACUGCAACGCAAAGCAUGGCUUAGGGAGCGGCGGGUUUCCCUCCCUUCCCUCCAGCAAGGAAAAUCUGAGAAAGAGCAGUGGUGCUUACUCUUACCUCUGGAGUGAAUCUUUCUCCCACUCUCUGUAAAGCUACUGCUAAAGAGACUAUACUGGGCCUGGCAGGUCUUCAGUCUGAUCCAGCACAGUCAACGUGAAUUGAAAUGCCCUGAUAUGUAACCUUCAUCAUUGGCACCCACCACCAUGUUGUCCUCAUUCAUCAUAAACACUUCAGAGGCUGGAGCCCUCCAACUGUACCAUCUGGAUAUUGGGCCAUAUCUUGACCUUUAAAGGAUACUACUGACUGCUUUUCCUUGGCAAUGCUGACUGCUAUUCAGAUUUGCUUUCUGCCUGCAGUUCACUGGCCAGCCUGUGGUACCUUUUAGUGAAUUUUAGCCCAAGCUGACUUGUUUUGGUAAGUUCCUUAAGUUAGUAUGUGACAGAACAUCAAAUGCCUUUGUAAAGUCUUGAUGCUAUUCUGUACUCUACUAAUCUUCUGGCUUCAUCUUAAAAAGAAGUAGAGCGAUAAAUGUUUUAAUUGUCUAGCUUAGUUUACUGUCAUACACCUGUGUCAUAUCUGGAUCUCUAUUUGCUUCUGUAUGAAUACAUUUUCCCCUUCUGCUUUAGUAUUUAUACUAUUUAUUUCAAUUUGGAGCCAUGCCCAUAAGACAAUAGUUUCCAUAGUUACUCUUAAUUCAAUUUUUAAAGACUUGUGACAUGCUGACACUUUAUUAGUCUCCUGAUACUUCAUCAAUUCUCUAUGGGUUUUUUUAGCCACCAAUUGUUCCUUCAGUUCUAUAAAUACCCAAAGGGACACCUCCAAUGCAUUUGUUCAAGUGAUGAUAUUCAUUAUGUAUUUCUUAGUUACUUUUUCCCCGCAGAUCACAAUUACAUCAAUGAUUUCUUAACCAAGGCAUUAUUCAAAGUUUAAUCCCUUUUCCAAUAAACUUAAUGGCAAAAGCCCAAUUAGUUUUAGUGGGAAUAAGAACUGGUCUCAAAAUUUAUCUCCAUAUUACAAAUUAAUUACAAUUAAUAUUUUCUUGGUCAAGUCAUUUUGUGUUACUGUGCCUUCAGGAUUCAUAGUGUCUUCAUAUUACAUUUAAGCUCUUGGCAGCUGUUUCAGUGUAUCCUCAUGCUGUCCCUGUUUUCUCAUGUGCACUAAACUUGGAAUAUAAAAGCCUGUUUUGGUGACCCUCCAGUUUUUUGUUUCCAAUGCAGUUCGUGUUUUACUUUUACUUGCUUAAGUAGCCCACAGUGACCCAUUUUCUCCUCAGUGUUUCCCAUUUUCAUUGGAACAAGACACAUUUCUGUUGGCUUCCCAUUACAGUAUCUUCUGGAGUCUUUCCUACUGCCUUUUCCCUUUCCACAAAGGCUUUUCUUAAACUCUCUUAACUAAUCCUGUGCAUCACAUUUUCCUCAUAAUACUACAUGAUUUUGUUGGAUGAUGUCAGAACUCUUCAAAGACAGCCAAGAAAGAGGUAUAGUUCAGUAAGCCAUAAAGUUAAUAAAGAAAGUCUGACUAGUUCCUCAAUGUCAUCUAAUGAUCUAGUUUUCUUAUAACU